rnacentral:rRNA from 1 species
GACGUAGGAUGCAAGCGUUGUCCGGAUUUAUUGGGCGUAAAGAGUUCGUAGGUGGUUUGUUAAGUCUGAUGUCAAAUACCGAGGCUCAACCUCGGACCUGCAUUGGAUACUGGCAGACUGGAGUGCAGUAGAGGCGAGUGGAAUUCCCAGUGUAGCGGUGAAAUGCGUAGAUAUUGGGAAGAACACCAGUGGCGUAAGCGACUCGCUGGGCUGCAACUGACGCUGAGGAACGAAAGCCAGGGGAG